rnacentral:snRNA from 1 species
GUGCUCACUUCGGUAGCACUGACACUAAAAUUGGAACAAUACAGAGAAGAUUAGUAUGACCCUUGCAGGAGGAUGACACACAAAUUGUGACGCAUUCAAUUAAA